CACUCCUACGGGAGGCAGCAGUGGGGAAUAUUGCACAAUGGGCGCAAGCCUGAUGCAGCCAUGCCGCGUGUAUGAAGAAGGCCUUCGGGUUGUAAAGUACUUUCAGCGGGGAGGAAGGCGAUAAGGUUAAUAACCUUGUCGAUUGACGUUACCCGCAGAAGAAGCACCGGCUAACUCCGUGCCAGCAGCCGCGGUAAUACGGAGGGUGCAAGCGUUAAUCGGAAUUACUGGGCGUAAAGCGCACGCAGGCGGUCUGUCAAGUCGGAUGUGAAAUCCCCGGGCUCAACCUGGGAACUGCAUUCGAAACUGGCAGGCUAGAGUCUUGUAGAGGGGGGUAGAAUUCCAGGUGUAGCGGUGAAAUGCGUAGAGAUCUGGAGGAAUACCGGUGGCGAAGGCGGCCCCCUGGACAAAGACUGACGCUCAGGUGCGAAAGCGUGGGGAGCAAACAGGAUUAGAAACCCUGGUAGUCCCA
rnacentral:rRNA from 1 species